rnacentral:lncRNA from 10 species
AUAUAGUUGCAGGUAGUCAUAGCCAGGUGUUUCUCUUUUGGGUCUCAAGCAUGAAUACUUGUGUCCUGGCUGUCAGUGUGAGUGUAGUGCAAACAGCAGUCUUGUCAAGUGUAGACAGUGAUGAGAUGGGGCAAACUGGUUUAACACCAUUGUGAACCCUUCACCUAAAACUCAACUCAACCCCAGGGAUUUCUGAGCUGUCCAAGAAAGUUUGAUGACUUUCCUUGCUUAAUCAGGUCAUGUUAAGCUCCCUUGAGGCUAAAUAGGGAAGAAGGGGCCAUGAAUUUUAUGUCUUUCUGUGGGAAUGUAUAUGUUCCAAAAGCAACAACCCUUUUUCCAGAUAAAUGUAUAAUCAACAAAACAGAGUUCUCUGCUUUGUAAAACUAGCACAAAAUUACCCUCCUGAGUGCCCUCUUCCAAGAAAAACACUGAGCCCUCCUUUAUAGAAAUUCUGAAAUUUCCAUGUGUUAAACUAAAUCAGAUUAGGUUUAACUGUUUCCCCAACCUCAUGUCUUUUUCAUCUGUCAUUUAUUUCCCAUAUGCAGUGACCACUGCUAGACACUCAGAGAAAGUCUGUCCCAAUGCCCAUAAAAUAACAGCUCCUGUUACUCUGACCUUAUACCCACAGGAACCUCAGAACAGGCAGGUGCAUCCUUAACUGAACACCAAUAAUUAAGGACUUAGGGAGCUCUUUAUGUUUUACUAACCCUUAAGUCAACAAUGUGCUACUCAUUCAUUGGCACAUUUCUCUUGAGUGAUAAUUGCUACUCUUCCCACAGGUAAGUUUUUCUAGGAAAAAAAAAAGAUUAAAUAUUGGAUAACUUUAGCCGGGCAAAGAAUAACUCAAGCCAUUAACCCU